GGACUACACGGGUAUCUAAUCCCGUUCGCUCCCCAUGCUGUCGUGUCUGAGCGUCAGUUGCGAGCCAGGGCGCCGCCUUCGCCUCUGGGGUUCCUCCGGAUCUCUACGCAUUUCACCACUACACCCGGAAUUCCACGCCCCUCUCUCGCACUCUAGAAGGCCAGUCUGGCAUAACGUUGCCCGGUUGAGCCGGACGCUUUCAUACACCACUUGACCUUCCGCCUGCACACGCUUUACACCCAGUAAAUCCGGAUAACGCUCGCCACCUACGUUUUACCGCGGCUGCUGGCAC
rnacentral:rRNA from 1 species